UCACAGGCAUCUGGCUCAUUGCGUUCCUAAAUACCUCGGCCAGUAUUAAACUGGAAUUGGCCUCGGAAAUAAUACGGGUUAUUAGAAAAUAGUCCAUCAUGGCCGACCAAGGAGAUGUUCAAACAACCAAGCCAUAUGUUAGACCAAAGACAGGAUGAGGGGAGAACUAUUAGUAUUACCACUUAUUUGUGUGGCAGUAUGGUACCAGUGGUGCGGCCGGCUCAGAAUUCCUGGCUUGUUCUGAUGAAAAAAGGCAGAUGAGGCACUGGAAUGUAAUCAAAUAUGCCAUUGUACUGAGGAUUGACCUGCAAUACACGGAAAACAUGUAACACAACUGCAAAGCCAACCUGGAAAGGAAAAUAAGUACAAGAUGGAAACAAAGUGGAAUAACAUGUUCAAUGGAACAACUUGAUAUUUGAUGACUUACAUACUGAUGUGAAGUUGCAGAUAAAAGUCAACUGUUGGCCCGUGAUUAGUAAAUACAAAAAGUAACAUUAAACCCUCGAUGCCUAAAGCAAUACAAUCUGAAGCUGGACAUUUACUUUACAACCUAGAUAGAGCCAGACUCGUUAAUUAUGCUUGGUAGUGCUACUCAGUGGUAACCCUCUUGCAGUCAACUUUCUUAAAUAUAUUUUUCAGACUAUUUGAGUGAACUUUACAUUUAAACCCGACACAUAUUUCUUCACUGUGGAACUUUUUUAACAACGGAAAGUGCAUAUUUAUAGAUAUUUAUUCAACUGUGUGGUAAAGGAUUUAUCUACGCUUAAAACGAUUUUCAUAAGAAGGAGGGAAGAUAACUACAGAAACAGGAACAUAUGGAAUUGGCAGACAUUAGUUCAUUUUAAAAUACUUCAGAAAGCCCUAAUAGGGCACAUGCCAUACUGUAAGAGAGUGAUUCUGCUUUCAGCUUGCGUUGGAAUCUAGCUGAAAUUAUUAGGUUUAAAAUAAGAUACUUGCUGACUUGCAAACAGUUGUUUCCAUUUGUGUUGAUUUGUUUUUUUAGUCUGUUUGUUAGAAGUGAUGAGCACUGCAACUAAUAUUUAUUUUCUUUAUUAAGUUGAAUUUAACACACUUAAUAUGACUUGUGAUUUUACUGAUACAUUUUUAGCUGACCAGAGCACAUUGUGCUCAGGGUGAGCUAUUGUGAUCGCUCUUUGUCUGUUGUCCAUCCGUCAACAAUUGCUUAACAAACAUCUGCUCUGAAACUACCACUCCAAAUUCAAUGAAACUUCACAGGAAGCUUCCUUUGGUGUCCCUCUAAAAAAUACAACAGGGGUCACGAUUGAUUAACAACAACAACAACAACAAAAUGGCCUACUUCCUGUUUUGCUUUAAAAAACAGCUCCUCUGAAACUACAUGUACCAGUCCAAUUCAAUGAAACUUUACAGGAAGCUUCAUUGGGUGACCUUUUCAAAAUACAAAAAGGGGUCAUGAUUGAUCAUCAAUAACAACAACAACAACAACAGUAACAACAACAAAAUGGCUGACUUCCUGUUUUACUUUAAAACAUCUUUUCUGAAACUGCCACUCCAAAUUCAAUGAAACUUUACAGGAAGCUUCCUUGGGUGCCCCUCUACAAAAAUACAACAAGGGGUCACGAUUGAUCACCAACAACAACAACAACAAAAUGGCCAACGUCCUGUUUUGCUUAAAAAAACAUCUCCUUUAAAACUUCCAGUCCAAAUUCAAUGAAACUUUACAGGAAGCUUCCUUGAGUAAUCUUGUACAAAAAUACAACAAGGGGUCACGAUUGAUCAACAACAACAACAAAAACAAUCUGGUGUUAAAAUCUUGAUAGUUAUGUAAAGUUUACUCUUGAAGCAAGGGCAGCAAACCUUGCUCUAUGGUCUCCCUUUCUGUUGAACAGUGUAUUGUCUAUUUUUAGUUUUUCUAUUUUUAGUAAGAAGGGGUAUAUGUUAUAUUUUUUAAUUCUUCAAAUUAGUCACUUUUAAGGUAAUAAUUUUUUUUCAUAGGUUAAUAUUAGGAAUAAUUAUAUCUCUUUAUAUUAUCUAUAGAAGAAUUUCAUUUUUACUCAAUGAUGAAUUAAAUGAUCAGACUUUUCCAUUUAACUACAUGUAGACCAUUGUAAUUGUACAAUCUUAUCUUUUUCGUGGUUAGUUAAUACACCUUAUAUAAACAAGACUGUAACACACACUCAUAGAUGGGAAGCCAUGCUGUGUUGGAUUAAAAUUGAGACAAAGUAACUGUAGGCUCUUCAUAAGUAUUUUUUAUCAAAUCCUCAUAAUUUAAAGCAGUACAAUAUUUUAUUGGAUGGUGCGCUGUCCGUCGUUCCUAUGUCUUACACAAUUGCGUUAAAAUCAAAUUAUGCCUGUGGGGUCAAAACUCGCUUUGCCAUAAGGUUUUCUGUGGACUUAUAGAAAAUCUUCUUGUCUGACACUGCUAGGCCGAAACCUUUAAUAAUUUGUUACGAGCAUCAUAUAGUGGUCCUCUACCAAGAUUGUGCAAAUUAAGCAAAUUUGGUUCCACCCUUUUUUACCUAGUCCUACUGUCUUAUUUUUGAAACUACAGCAAAGAAAUAUUCACCAUGUUCACAAUUCUGUAAACCAAUAACAAUGGGCGUUUUUGUUGGUAAUAAACUGGUUUCGGUUUUAUUUUGUUUUCACAAACUAUGUAUUUAUUGUCACAGUUUCAAAUAAAACCGAAACCAGUUUUAUGGGUUUUUUUAAACAUAAACCGAAACCAGUUUUUGAGUCACUAUCGAAACCCCUACUGAAGGUGGGUUCAUCGAUUCAUUCCAUCCGAAAACUAGUUUUCUUUUAAAACAGCAUGGCGGUAAUUGAUCAACCAUGUUUGUUGAAACUCAAUGUUUUUUUAAAACAAUGCCUUACAAUGGGCAAAUGAGCUAAAUGAAAAUGGUACUAUUAAUAAGUGUGUGUUAAUAUAUCAGUUUGUAUGCUCCGCCAUAUUGUUGGAACUGUUCACAAAAACAUGCUUUUGUAACUUCAAGCAAAAUUAUCAAAACCGGUUUCGAAUCUGCUGAAACAAUUGAAACCAAACUGAAACUGGUUUGGUAUCAACACAAUUGCCCUAUGUUGUGGUUGGAUGACCUUGACUGUGACUGCCUACUUUCUUAUUUAUGAAGCUAUACAGCAAUGAAAUUUAGAUCAUGUGUGGAGUUUUGAAAACAAAUAUCAAUAUUGUCCUUGGAUGACCUUGAAAGUGACUUUUUGACCUACUUCUUUUUUUAAGGUGCAGCAAUAACAUUUUGACCAUGUGUACAGUUUUGAAAACAAUUAUCAAUGCUGUGGAUUACCUUUAUUGUAACUUUUUUGCAACUUAUUUUUGAAGCUAAGUUUUGAAAUUUGAAUCAUAUGUACAGCUUUGAGAACAAAUAUCAAGCUAUAUUGAUUACAAAGGUUAAACUCUUUUACUCAGGUGAGCAAUUUAGGGCCAUCAUGGCCCUCUUG